GAGGAAAGCUUUACUGCCUUCAGGUUGUCUCAUCAACAAAUCUUUCUCUCCACACCCCAACUGCUUUUCUGAUCAGAAUCUUUGAUUCCCUACAGGAUCAAGGGGCAGAAAUGGGGAGCAGAUCCCUCUGAUGAAAGUGCGAUCUACAGUGUUGUGAAGAAACCUGAGCUCCUCUCAAAGGGAGACACCAAACCUGACUAUGAGAACAUAGUGAACCCGAAUGAAGAAGAACUGCACUACUCUUCCUUGGUGAACCUCGCCCGACGGCCCCAGCCCACCUUCACAGACUCAGAAACGGAUUCCGACUCAGAGGACAGCAUCCACUAUGCAGCCCUGAAGCAUUGAUUCUCUUGGGACUCACAGAGACCAGAAACGGCCCCCAAGCUCUUUCCACUCAGUGGCACAGUAUACGUGGGGACGCUUCCGAUCUAUGCUAUGGCUUGCUCUUAGAAGCCAAGAAUAGCAGCACUUGAGGAUAAGGAUCUGUCUGCACUGGGAGUAUGAAUGUAAACAUGCACUGGAUUUUGUUCUUGCAGGAAAGAAUGGAACAUGUGAAAGUGUUUCUUCCCUGCUGUGUGAAGUUUUGAGGGUUUAUGUUUUUUCAUCAUUAUAUCACCUUUUUUUGCAAA